CCGUCCCCCCCCCCGAGCUGCCACCCUGUCACCUCACGGGCGCGGGGGCACCCCGGGGUGCCACAGGUGACGGGGACGAGACCCCGGCGCUGAGCCUGGCCGUGCCCUCGACGUCCCCCCCCGGGGGCCCCCGCGACGCCGCUGCCACCCCCCCGUCCUCGCCCUCCAUGGCCGCCGCCACCCCGGGGUGAGCACCCACGGGUGCCGGGGGGAUGCCGGGGCCCCGGGGGGGCAGGGGGGGGGGCCAGCGCCGAGCACCUGCAUCCCCGGGGUGGGAGCACCCAGGGUGGGAGGCUCUGGGUGGGAGCCCAUGGGUGCUGGGUCCUUGGGUGGGAGCCCAUGGGUGCUGGGUCUUUGGGUGGGAGCCCAUGGGUGGUGGGUCUCUGGGGAGGAUCCCAUGGGUUCUGGGUCUCCAGGGUUGGGAUCCCAUGGGUGCUGGGUCCCCGAGGUGGGAUCCCCAUGGGUGCUGGGUCCCUGGCGUGGGAUCCCAUGGGUGCUGUGUCCCAGGGGUAGGAUCCCAUGGGUGCUGGGUCCCUGGCAUGGGAUCCCCUGGGUGCCGGCUCCCCGGGGUGGGAACUCAUGGGUGCUGGGUCCUUCGGGUGGUAUCCCAUGGGUGCUAGGUCUCCAGGGCGGGAGUCUAUGGGUGCUGUGUCCCAAGGGUGGGAUCCCAUGGAGAUUGGGUCCCUGGGGUGGGAUCGCAUGGGUUGGGAUCCCAUGGGUGCCGGGUCCCUGGGAUGGGAUCCCCUGGGUGCCAGCUCCCCGGGGUGGGAUCCCAUGGGUGCUGAGUCCCCGGGGUGGGAUCCCAUGGGUGCUGUGUCCCAGGGUUGGGAUCCCAUGGGUGCUGGGUCACCGAGGUGGGAUCCCCAUGGGUGCUGGGUCCCUGGUGUGGGAUUCCAUGGGUGUUGUGUCCCAAGGGUGGGAUCCCAUGGGUGCUGGGUCCUUGGGGUGGGAUCCCAUGGGUGCUAGGUCUCCAGGGCGGGAGUCUAUGGGUGCUGUGUCCCCUGGGUGGGAUCCCAUGGGCACUGGGUUCCUGGCGUGGGAUCCCAUGGGCGCUGUGUCCCAAGGGUGGAAUCCCAUGGAGAUCGGGUCCCUGGGGUGGGAUCGCAUGGUUUGGGAUCCCAUGGGUGCUAGGUCCUUGGGUUGGGAUCCCAUGGGUGCUGGGUCCCUGGGAUGGGAUCCCAUGGGUGCCGGCUCCCCAGGGUGGGAUCCCCUGGGUGCUGGGUCCUUGGGUUGGGAUCCCAUGGGUGCCGGGUCCCCAAGGUGGGAUCCCAUGGGUGCUGGGUCCUUGGGUUUGGUUCCCAUGGGUGCCGGGUCACUGGCACGGGAUCCCACGGGUGCCGGCUCCCCGGGGUGGGAUCCCCUGGGUGCCAGCUCCCCGGGGUGGUAUCCCAUGGGUGCCGGCUCCCCGGGGCUCCCUAACCCCCCCGCCCCGUGCUCCCCGCCGGCAGCGGGGCGGGCGACGCGCUGGGGCUGCAGGUGGACUUCUGGGUG
rnacentral:lncRNA from 1 species